GUAGGGAAUCUUCCGCAAUGGACGCAAGUCUGACGGAGCAACGCCGCGUGAGUGAGGAAGGCCCUCGGGUCGUAAAGCUCUGUUGCCCUAGACGAACGCUUGGGAGAGUAACUGCUCUCAAGGUGACGGUAUAGGAGAAGAAAGCCCCGGCUAACUACGUGCCAGCAGCCGCGGUAAUACGUAGGGGGCAAGCGUUGUCCGGAAUUAUUGGGCGUAAAGCGCGCGCAGGCGGUCACUUAAGUCUUCUGUUUAAUGCCAGGGCUCAACUCUGGCACGCAGGGGAAACUGGGUAACUGGAGUGCAGGAGAGGAAAGUGGAAUUCCACGUGUAGCGGUGAAAUGCGUAGAGAUGUGGAGGAACACCAGUGGCGAAGGCGACUUUCUGGCCUGUAACUGACGCUGAGGCGCGAAAGCGUGGGGAGCAAACAGGAUUAGAUACCCCGGUAGUCC
rnacentral:rRNA from 1 species